AUGCUCGCUUUGGCAGCACAUAUACUAAAAUUGGAAGAUUUUACAGGGAAGAUCAGCAUGGCCCCUGCACAAGGAUGACAUGCAAAUUCGAGAAGUGUUCCAUAUUUAA